rnacentral:rRNA from 1 species
AGUAGCCUUUCGAAAGGAAGAUUAAUACCGCAUAAGAUUGUAGUAUCGCAUGAUAUAGCAAUUAAAGGAGCAAUCCGCUAUAAGAUGGACCCGCGUCGCAUUAGCUAGUUGGUGAGGUGAUGGCUCACCAAGGCGACGAUGCGUAGCCGACCUGAGAGGGUGAUCGGCCACAUUGGGACUGAGACACGGCCCAGACUCCUACGGGAGGCAGCAUG